GGUCCUAUAGUGUAGUGGUCAUCACGUCGGUCUCUGACGCAGACAUCCGGAGUCGCCGGUUCGAAUCCGGCUGGGACCU
rfam:Wallemia ichthyophaga EXF-994 unplaced genomic scaffold scaffold42, whole genome shotgun sequence.